UCUCCCUUGACUGAGGAGCCUCGGUUGUU
rnacentral:piRNA from 1 species